CAGAAAAUAGUUUACAAAGAAUUUUGAUCUUGGGUGUCAAAGGUGAGGUUAAAAAUGACCUCUUUUCUGA
rnacentral:tRNA from 1 species